AUGUGUUCCAUAUACCAUACUGAAAAAAGAAGAAACAUAAGGUCCUCACAUUGCCCAAGAAAUUUGGUAGCCUGCCCGGGGUUCAUCGCAGCUGAAUCUGUGUUCCACACUGAAAGUUUUGGAUGGUGGGGAUAUGAGUGUUCAUAUUCUGAAGGAGAAAGUUCCAGCGUCCAAAUCAAAGGAGUGCCCAUCCAAACCUACCAGAAUUUGAGCCACUCCGAAGCAAACCUGCAGCGAAGUGAAUUUUCACCUAGAUUGCUUUCUCGCCAAACGUGCCAACUACUGAUCAAACGCUUAUUUAUUUAUUUCUCAAAAGAAAUAAACUUCGUCUUAUUCUACUUUGCUUAA
rnacentral:rRNA from 1 species